GGAGGGUGCGAAGCGUUGUUCGGAAUCAUUGGGCGUAAAGCGCGUGUAGGCGGCUUGGCAAGUCGGUUGUGAAAGCCCGGGGCCCAACCCCGGAAUUGCAUCUGAAACUGCCUCGCUAGAGUCCCGGAGAGGAAGGCAGAAUUCCCGGUGUAGGGGUGAAAUCCGUAGAUAUCGGCAGGAAUACCAGCGGCGAAGGCGGCCUUCUGGACGGUGACUGACGCUGAGACGCGAAAGCGUGGGGAGCAAACAGGAUUAGAUACCCUGGUAGUCCACGCCGUAAACGUUGAGUGCUAGGUGUCGCGGGUAUUGACCCCUGCGGUGCCGUCGUUAACGCAUUUAGCACUCCGCCUGGGGAGUACGGUCGCAAGGCUA
rnacentral:rRNA from 1 species